rnacentral:rRNA from 1 species
GACGAACGCUGGCGGCGUGCUUAACACAUGCAAGUCGAACGGAAAGGCCUCAGCUUGCUGGGGUACUCGAGUGGCGAACGGGUGAGUAACACGUGGGUGAUCUGCCUUGCACUCUGGGAUAAGCUUGGGAAACUGGGUCUAAUACCGGAUAUGAACUGCCGUUAGUGUGGGGGUUGGAAAGUUUUUUCGGUGCAGGAUGAGCUCGCGGCCUAUCAGCUUGUUGGGGGGGUAAUGGCCUACCAAGGCGUCGGCGGGUAGGCGGGCUGGGAGGGUGUACGGCCACAUUGGGGCUGAGAUACGGCCCAGGCUCCUACGGGAGGCAGCAGUGGGGAAUAUUGCACAAUGGGCGGAAGCCUGAUGCAGCGACGCCGCGUGGGGGAUGACGGCCUUCGGGUUGGAAACUCCUUUCGACAGGGACGAAGCUUUUUGUGACGGUACCUGUAUAAGAAGCACCGGCUAACUACGUG